rnacentral:ncRNA from 11 species
UAUCUUUGCUCCGGAUUUGGUUUCCUGCUCCCCGUGCGGGGAGGGAAUGAAAAGGGAACCGGGUGCAAGUCCCGGACAGUCCCGCUGCUGUGAAACUCCGCGGACGUUCCGAACAUCUCGCCACUGAUCCUCCGCGAUCGGGAAGGCUUCGGAACGGGAGUAAGUCAGAAGACCUGCCAAAUCAAUUCGGUUCCGU